UCGAAAUAAUUUUUUAAUAAAUUAAAAGUUAAGUUAAACAACAGUUCAAUUAAUUAUUUGCAGGAAACGGAGGUUGGGGAGGUAUGUAAUCUUUUUUUAACCGAUCGAAAUCGAAAUUAAUAUUUCGAAUUAUUAAAGGAUGGGGUGGGGGAGGACAUGGAGGUGGUUACGGAGGGGGUGGCCACGGUGGGGGUCAUGGCGGUGGUGGUUAUGGAGGAUGGAGGAGAAAGUAGUCUUUGUUCUUCUAACUUGUUAUACAUUUCCUCUGCCUCAUCAUUCGCUUCGAAUGUUUGAUGGCCUUACAACUAUUAGUGCCUUACUCUAAUGUGCGUUCAAUUGUACAAUUUUUGAAUAAAGCUAUUUUCUCUGCAAAUUUGUA